AACAGUUAGUGACCACUUGAUACCAAGAUGAAGAUCUGCAAGAUGCCACACUUCAACAGUAACCUCAUCCUGUUGGUCUGUGUUGACAAGGGGUCCCAGCUGCUAAUAUUUUAUGUCAAGUCAAAUCUGACUUGGUGACAUGUCAUCAAAUUCAUUAAGUGUGGUGUUCUUACCAAGAUAUACCUUGCCUUCACAACAAACUUCUGCACUCUAUCUACUCUAUGAAGUUUCCAGGACUAAACUACGUUUCGCCAUGUCACCAGCGUAUGGGUAGAAGGAAAACAAACACAUAUACUAUGUAAACCAAAGAUACUACCACUG